CACGUAGGGCGCGAGCGUUGUCCGGAAUUAUUGGGCGUAAAGAGCGUGUAGGCGGCCAGAUAAGUCCGCUGUGAAAUCUCGAGGCUCAACUUCGAGCUGUCGGUGGAAACUGUCUGGCUAGAGUCCGGAAGAGGAGAAUGGAAUUCCUGGUGUAGCGGUGAAAUGCGCAGAUAUCAGGAAGAACACCCGUGGCGAAGGCGGUUCUCUGGGACGGUACUGACGCUGAGACGCGAAAGCGUGGGGAGCGAACAGG
rnacentral:rRNA from 1 species